rnacentral:rRNA from 1 species
CAGUCGCCGCGGUAAUACGUAGGGUGCGAGCGUUAAUCGGAAUUACUGGGCGCAAAGCGUGCGCAGGCGGUUCGUUAAGACAGAUGUGAAAUCCCCGGGCUUAACCCGGGAACUGCAUUUGUGACUGGCGAGCUAGAGUAUGGCAGAGGGGGGUAGAAUUCCACGUGUAGCAGUGAAAUGCGUAGAGAUGUGGAGGAAUACCGAUGGCGAAGGCAGCCCCCUGGGCCAAUACUGACGCUCAUGCACGAAAGCGUGGGGAGCAAACAGGAUUAGAUACCCGUGUAGUCCCUGUCUCUUAUAC